rnacentral:piRNA from 1 species
CAAGCUCUCAUCGUGAGGUUUGACCAAGGU